UUCAUUACACAGAAGCAGCUAACGAGAUUGUCUUUUCUCAAAUCCUUACUGGAGUUUUCAAUGAUCCUCCUAUUUCUCUAGAUAGGGCAUGUUAUAGAAAGUGAUCACUUCAAGUUAACGGUUGUAUUAUAUUAAAAAUAAGGUGAACCUUCUGUCAAAAAUAUAAAUAAGGUGAACCUUUUUAUCGAUGUAAAUAAAAAUGUGUUUAAUCGCUGUAAAAAAUCUAAUAAAAUUCCUUAUAUUAUAGAGCCG
rnacentral:lncRNA from 1 species